rnacentral:rRNA from 1 species
CCUACGGGAGGCUGCAGUGGGGAAUAUUGGACAAUGGGGGGAACCCUGAUCCAGCCAUGCCGCGUGUGUGAAGAAGGCCCUCGGGUUGUAAAGCACUUUCAGUGAGGAAGAACGCCUGGUGGUUAAUACCCAUCAGGAAAGACAUCACUCACAGAAGAAGCACCGGCUAACUCCGUGCCAGCAGCCGCGGUAAUACGGAGGGUGCGAGCGUUAAUCGGAAUUACUGGGCGUAAAGCGCGCGUAGGUGGCUUGAUAAGCCGGUUGUGAAAGCCCCGGGUUCAACCUGGGAACGGCAUCCGGAACUGUCAAGCUAGAGUGCAGGAGAGGAAGGUAGAAUUCCCGGUGUAGCGGUGAAAUGCGUAGAGAUCGGGAGGAAUACCAGUGGCGAAGGCGGCCUUCUGGACUGACACUGACACUGAGGUGCGAAAGCGUGGGUAGCAAACAGGAUUAGAUACCCGGGUAGUC